AUUUCAUCCUGUUGAUGAGGUUCUUUCUUAUGCCCAGCUGAAAUCUCUCCUGAUUGAAUGUCCAAAUUCAAAUGUCUACAAAGACCAGUAGAGCAAAUGACUAAAGUGGGACAUUUAAAACAAUUACUAGACUGGUAAGCCCGGAAAAUAUGGCAGAAAAAGGCAAUAAGGCUUAACAGAAAGGUCACAAGUCUUACAACCAGUCCAAAUUGAGUUGGAAUGUAGUUCUAUCACUUAGCAGCUCAGCUACCCUGGGUAAGUUACUUAAACUCUUUAUUUAGUAAUACCUACCCUUUCCUAGAGCUGUUGUAAAAAGUAAAGAUAAUAAUCGAGUAUUUACCAUAUGCCAGGCAUUAUGCCAAGCAAUUCACUUACAUUUUUGCUCACUUAAUUUAUGUAGGUUGCUUAGUACUGCCUGGACCAUAGUAAGUGCUCAACAAAUAGGAGUGUUAUUACUAGUAUAUCUGAAUGGCAACAGGGUAUUUAACAUUGCUUGGGAGAAUCAGUGAACAAAAUGGAGAAAGGUAGGCUGGAAAGAAGUAUAAUUAAGUGGGUUAGUAAAUAAGUUUAAUGUACAUGGAUAAAAUAUUGGGUAAAGUUGACGACCAAAAGAGGCUUAAGUGAUAACUUAGAACCACAUUAGGAAACUUUUUCUGUAAAGGGUCAGAUAGUAAAUAUUUUCGGUUUUGUGGGCCAAUCUCUGUUGCAACUACUCAACUCUGCCCUUGUAGUGCAAAAGCAGACAUAAAUAAUGCACAAAGUAAGGGACGUGGCUGUGUUCCAAUAAAACUUUAUUUACAAAAACAGAGGGUGAGCCAGAUUUGGCCUGUGGGCCAUAAUUUGCUGACCUCUUGCUUAGAAUAAAAAGACAAUGACAUGCAAUAGAAUAAACAUAAAGUGUGCUGUUCAGUUCAAGAAACCAACUGCACAAGCACUUAAACUCAGCAUUUAAAUAAAAAAUCAAGACAACCAGGGGGUGUGAGUUGUCCUGAGUUACCAAAACAAAAACAAAAUUACUAAGGUUAUUUUCGUCACAAAAAAAACCACAAAAUUCUACCCUAAUCUGUUCUGAAAAGACCGUGCAUAGAUGAGUUUUGGCUAAAACGAUGUGAACUGAAGCCUGUUCAACUGAGGCUGGGGAUAAAAGACCCAACCAGAAAUGGCGUGUAUGUUUCAUCUGGUGUGCUCCCCACUUCCCAGUCAAUUCUCAGUGGCUUCCAGGAACAUGCAUGGAAAAGGAUUCUGAGAUCUCACAUCUGAGCCUAGAGGAAAUGAGGGCCAUGAUUAAUUAUUAAUGUCUGCCAUGGGUACAAGGGGGAAGAGUAGUGGCAAGUGUGCCACAUAAUUGCCAUCCUUAAAAAUCCUAUCACAUGAAGGAUAAGCAGUAAACAAAUGAAAUUUGUUGCCCCAUAUAAGUUGUAUAAUUCAAAAUACAAUUAUCUUUAAGACAGGAAGACACUUUCUAAAUAUUAAUCUAAUCUCACUAAUGGACAUGGCAAAUCCAAAAUAGCUUUUAUUACAGUGGCAGCAGGGG
rnacentral:lncRNA from 1 species